rnacentral:rRNA from 1 species
UGCGGAAUUUUAGAUAAUGGAGGGAACUCUGAUCUAGCGACGCCGCGUGCAGGAAGAAGGUCUUCGGAUUGUAAACUGCUGUGGUAAGGGAAGAAUGCUAUGUAGAGUGGAAAGCUACAUAGAGGGAUGGUACCUUACUAGAAAGCCCCGGCUAACUACGUGCCAGCAGCUGCGGUAAUACGUGGGGGGCGAGCGUUACCCGGAAUCACUGGGCGUAAAGGGAGCGUAGGUGGCCUAACAUGUCAACUGUGAAAACCCGGAGUUCAACUCCGGACUUGCAGUUGAAACUGGUAGGCUUGAGGACGGUAGAGGAAGACGGAACUGCCAGUGUAGGGGUAAAAUCCUUAGAUAUUGGCAGGAACGCCGGUGACGAAGGUGGUUUUCUGGGCCGGUUCUGACACUGAUGCUCGAAAGCCAGGGGAGCGAACGG